rnacentral:rRNA from 1 species
UCGAGAAUCAUUCACAAUGGGGGCAACCCUGAUGGUGCAACGCCGCGUGGAGGAUGAAGGCCCUAGGGUCGUAAACUCCUGUCAUCAGAGAGUAAUGCAUAAUCGUUAAUAGCGUUUAUGUUUGAUAGUAUCUGAAGAGGAAGGGACGGCUAACUUCGUGCCAGCAGCCGCGGUAAUACGAAGGUCCCAAGCGUUGUUCGGAAUCACUGGGCGUAAAGGGAGCGUAGGCGGUUAGGUAAGUCAGAUGUGAAAUCCCGGGGCUCAACCUCGGAACUGCAUUUGAUACUGCCUGACUAGAGUAUUGGAGAGGUAAGUGGAAUUCUCGGUGUAGCAGUGAAAUGCGUGGAUAUCGAGAGGAAGACCAAUGGCGAAGGCAACUUACUGGACAAUGACUGACGCUGAGGCUCGAAGGCUAGGGGAGCGAAAGGGAUUAGAUACCCCCGUAGUCC